UACGUAGGGUGCAAGCGUUGUCCGGAAUUAUUGGGCGUAAAGAGCUCGUAGGCGGCUUGUCGCGUCUGCUGUGAAAACCCGAGGCUUAACCUCGGGCUGGCGGUGGAUACGGGCAGACUAGAGGUAGGUAGGGGAGAAUGGAAUUCCCGGUGUAGCGGUGAAAUGCGUAGAUAUCAGAAAGAACACCAGUGGCGAAGGCGGGUCUCUGGGCCAAAACUGACGCUGAGGAGCGAAAGCGUGGGGAGCGAACAGG
rnacentral:rRNA from 1 species